AUUGAACGCUGGCGGCAGGCCUAACACAUGCAAGUCGAGCGAGCGGCGGACGGGUGAGUAAUGUCUGGGAAACUGCCUGAUGGAGGGGGGUAACCAUUGGAAACGGUGGCUAAAACCGCAUAUUCCCAGAUGUGCCCACAUGGGAUUAGCUAGUUGGUGGGGUAACGGCGCACCUAGGCGACGAUCCCUAGCUGGUCUGAGAGGAUGAUCAGCCACACUGGAACUGAGACACGGUCCAGACUCCUACGGGAGGCAGCAGUGGGGAAUAUUGGACAAUGGGCGAAAGCCUGAUGCAGCCAUGCCGCGUGUGUGAAGAAGGUCUUCGGAUUGUAAAGCACUUUAAGUUGGGAGGCGUUACCAACAGAAUAAGCACCGGCUAACUACGUGCCAGCAGCCGCGGUAAUAC
rnacentral:rRNA from 1 species